rnacentral:lncRNA from 1 species
GACGAUCUCCAGCCCGUGCUGGCGCAGCUGCGCCCUCAGCAGCAGGUUCUUGUUCUUCAGCUCCUCCACCUGCAUUUAGGGGGGUCAGACACCCCAAAAUAACCCCAAAAUAUCAUCCUGUACCCCAAAAUAUCACUCUGCACCCCAAAAUAUUCCCCAGUGCACUCCCAGUGCUCCCAGUAACUCCCAGUGCUCCCAAUAUCCCAAACCAGCAGGUUCUUGUUCUUCAGCUCCUCCACCUGCAUUUAGGGGGGUCAGACACCCCCAAAAUAUCACCCUGCACCCCAAAAUAUCACCGUGCACCCCCAAAAUAUCCCCCAGUAUGCUCCCAGUGCUCCCAGUACACCCCAGUAACCCAAUAUCCCAAACCAGCAGGUUCUUGUUCUUCCUCCACUGGAUUUUGGGGGAUAUCCCAAAGUGGUAUGUGGGGGGGGAUGGGGUUAGACACCCCCAAAACAUCCCCCAGUGACCCCAAAAUAUCCAAGUGCACCCCAAAAUAUCCCCCAGAGUGCUCCCAGUCCCUCCCAGUGCUCCCAGUCCGACCUGCUGGUGCAGCACCUCGCUGUCCAUCUGCAGCUGCUCCAUUGAUCCCAGUCCCAUCCCAUUGAUCCCAAUGACCCCAGCCCUGAUCCCAUUGAUCUCAAUCCCAUCCCAGUGACCCCAAUCCCAUUCCCAGUCCAUCCCAAUCCCAUUCCCAGUCCAUCCCAGUUUCACUCCGUUGUCCAUCUGCAGCUGCUCCAGGCCCAAUCCCAUUGAUCCCAAUGACUCCAAUCCUAUCUCAGCCCCAUUCCCAUGACCCCAAUCCCAUUCCCAGGGUUCCCAGUCCAUCCCAAUCCUGUUCCCAGUCCCUCCCAGUGCUCCCAGUCUGACCUGCUGGUGCAGCACCCCAUUGUCCACCUGCAGCUGCUCCAGCCCCAAUCCCAUUGAUCCCAAUCCCAUUCCCAUGACCCCAGCUCCAUCCCAAUGACCCCAGCCCCAUUCCCAUGACUCCAAUCCCAUUCCCAGUGUUCCCAGUUCAUCCCAGUCCCUCCCAGUCCGACCUGCUGGCGCAGCACCCUGUUGUCCACCUGCCGCUGCUCCAGGCCCAAUCCCAUUGAUCCCAAUGACUCCAAUCCUAUCUCAGCCCCAUUCCCAUUACCCCAAUCCCAUCCCAGUGACCCCAAUCCCAUUCCCAGUGUUCCCAGUCCAUCCCAGCCCCAUUUCCAGUCCCUCCCAGUUUCCCCAGUCCAACCUGCUGGCACAGCACCUCGUUGUCCAUCUGCAGCUGCUUCAGGCCCAAUCCCAUCAAUCCCAUUGAUCUCAAUCCCAUCCCAGUGACCCCAAUCCCAUUCCCAGUCUAUCCCAGUCCAUCCCAGCCCCAUUCCCAGUUCCCCCCAGUCCCUCCCAGUUUCCCCAGUCCGACCUGCUG